rnacentral:rRNA from 1 species
CUGGCUCAGGAUGAACGCUAGCUACAGGCUUAACACAUGCAAGUCGAGGGGUAGCAGGGUAGCAAUACCGCUGACGACCGGCGCACGGGUGAGUAACACGUAUCCAACCUUCCCAUAACUCAGGGAUAGCCUUUCGAAAGAAAGAUUAAUACCUGAUAGUACUUUUUCAAGGCAUCUUGAGAAAGUUAAAGAUUUAUUGGUUAUGGAUGGGGAUGCGUUCCAUUAGAUAGUUGGUGAGGUAACGGCUCACCAAGUCUUCGAUGGAUAGGGGUUCUGAGAGGAAGGUCCCCCACAUUGGUACUGAGACACGGACCAAACUCCUACGGGAGGCAGCAGUGAGGAAUAUUGGUCAAUGGGCGAGAGCCUGAACCAGCCAAGUAGCGUGAAGGAAUGAAGGUCCUAUGGAUUGUAAACUUCUUUUGCAGGGGAAUAAAGUGCAGGACGUGUCCUGUUUUGUAUGUACCCUGAGAAUAAGGAUCGGCUAACUCCGUGCCAGCCGCAGC